rnacentral:lncRNA from 1 species
GGGCGGGGCCAACGGACCGCGGAGGCGGAGCCGCUACAGUCUGGGCGCUGGAGCGGUGGGAGCAGCGCUCGUCCGCCGUUGGGGCCCCCAGCCCGCGCGCGUGAAGCAGCUAGCCGACCAAGCCCCGGAAGGCGAGUGCCGGAGGGGGCGGGACAGCUCCUCCGGGGCCAGCGGGCACCAGGCUUGGGGGCUGAGGCCCAGCGGCCCGAGACCAACUGGGCUGACCGAGGCCGCCUCCCCGCCAGCCCUGGGGUCCACUGCCCGGGGAGCAGCUCCCUUCCCAGGUCAGACUCGGGCUUCAUCCUCUCUUGCCGCGCGCCGAGCGGUUUUCAACUCUCACUGCUAGAAUUCCUCCAACCACCCAGGAUAGCAGGACCGAGAUACAUGGCCACCCAUGACCCGGAGCGUCCACUUCCAGGGACAGGCAGUGGUGAUUGGCUUCGGUUGUCAUCUGUGCCAUCUGUCCAUGGUUCGAGAAGCUGCUGUUCACGUUUUGGGGAGGAUCAUGGUUUGAGGGCUCCCGUGGUAGAAUUUGGGGAGCUCUCAUAGGCAGAAGGCUGAGAAAAGUUGGUGCUGUGGGAAGUCAACUGGCAGCCGAUGGAGUCGGGACCCGGGAGGAAUGGAAAGGGAACCCAGAUAGGAAGCUACUGCAGUAGGCUCAGAGAGGUGAUGACGGCAGGGCUAAGACAGCGGCCUUGGGCGGUGACUGGGAAGAACGUUGAACACCGUGUUUGGGCUGAAGAAAAGAGCAAGGGAAGAGUCCCAGCUGCUCUGGAGUUUGAGGCAGGAGGAUGGCUUGAACCCAAGAGGUGGAGGCUGAAGUGAGCCAAGAUCGCGCCACUGCACUCCAGCCUGGGCGACAGGGCAAAACCCUGUCUCUAAAAAGAACUUUUUAAAAAAGCACCUGUAGAUUUAAGCACAUAAUAACUACACUUUUGUCUGUUUUAUUAUGAUAUCAAAGUUAAAUUUAUGAUGAAUGACUAACUGGACAAAACUGAGAGCAACCACCACAGAGGUGAAUAUACUGAAUGUAUAACACUCUCUAAUAAUUUUAAGAACUCCGCUCUAAUGAGCAGAUAUCACAGAAAGAGACUUUUCAGAUGAAAUACCGAUGACCAGGAAAUCUGUGAGACCAUUUUAAAAAAUUCGAAGUCAUUGAAGAAAUGCAAAGCUUCCAGGCUCCACUUUUCACUGAUGAAAUUGGCAGAGUUUGGGACAAUGAGAUGUUGCUGUCCCGGGAGUGCGGAUGGGGCUGUGUCCUGUGAUGGCGGUGGGCACUGGCACUCUUGUCCAGAAAGACAUUCACCACUGUGGUUCAAGAAGCACCUCAAAGGUCUUCACCUUGGUCCCUUGUCCACCUCUGCCCGCGGUCUCUCCUCCUUUCAGCCUCCUCUUUCCCACACAGUCCCUCCCGCCCUGGCUUGGUCCCCUUUCUUCUGACUGGGUCAGGCAUGUGGGUGACUCUUUGACUUCCAAGGCUCUGUCUACUUGGCUUUUUUCUUUCACCUGUUCUGCAGAAUAACAGCCUGAUUCGUUCCUCUUUUUGGGUCCUUCACUUCCAUACCUGGGAUUCGGGGCGUGGCCCAGAAAGACCCUGCAGUCUUGCAGUGUGGGGCUGCCAGCAUUUCAUGGCCUCCAAGCUCAGCUGGGCUGAAUGAACGCUGCCAUCCAGCGCUUGGCUCAUUUUCUGUCCCAUUUUCCUGAGUGCUUUUGCCAGACUUACACUUUUCUGAAAGCUACUCCACCCUACCCCAGACACACCCUCUCUCCUCGGAUGACCUGCCUCCUAAUUUCCUGAGAAAACUGGACAUGGCCACCUUUCCCCAGUGUCUGAGGCCCAGGUUGACCCGUGGUCAUGGUCGCUGUCACCACCCACCUGCCUGUAUGACAGAGUGAGACCCUGUCUCAAAAAAAAAUAAAAAGAAUGCCUCAUGUUA